UACGGGGGGGGCAAGCGUUGUUCGGAAUUACUGGGCGUAAAGGGUUUGUAGGUGGCCCGCUAAGUCACACGUGAAAUCCCUCAGCUUAACUGGGGAACUGCGUGUGAGACUGGCAGGCUCGAGGGCAGGAGAGGAACGCGGAAUUCCAGGUGUAGCGGUGAAAUGCGUAGAUAUCUGGAGGAACACCGGUGGCGAAGGCGGCAUCCUGGACCAACACUGACACUGAGGAGCGAAAGCCAGGGGAGCAAACGGG
rnacentral:rRNA from 1 species